CGCGCGCCCGCGCCCCCGUCAGCUGCAGGUCCGGAGCCCGACGGUAGAGGCCUCCCUUCUGAGGAGGCGGCGCGGCCGCGCGGGGCCGGGGUGAGCGCUCCCAGCCGCGCGUCCUUCCGGACCGGGUCCCUGCGCGGCCCGACCCGGUGCGAGUAUUCCCCACCCGCCGUCCUCCUCCGCAGGCGGCGGCGCCCGUUCUUUUGAGGGCACGGACGUUUCCACGCAGGCGAUUUUGACAGCAAUCACCCUACCAAGCUAUUAUGAAGUGUGAUGUCAGUGCGUUCUGCAGGACGGAUAAUGUAUAAGCCAGAUCUUGACACGCUAUCUUACAAGGAAGCAGCUGAGACCAUCAGCUUCUAAUGUGAGGAAAAACACGGAAUGACAAGUGUGGGAAAGAGCAAGCACUAAAUUACUGUCAGAAAAAUAAACGGAGUAGCACAGUGGUGCUCGGUGAUUUACGGGGGCAAUUAGUCACCACCCCACGGCGCUGCUGAGGACAGCACGGCAGCAGACGCGUCAGGCCUGAGAGGAAGAAGAGGCUUUGCACUGCUCUCCAGACAACUUUUCAGACAAGAGAGGAUAUUUGAGCACAUUAGGUUCCAUGUCUUCAUUCUGGGUGCCCACCCUUCACAUUAUUCGGCCAGCCGAAUACAUAAACGUAUUUUUAACACAACAUUAACCUGUUCUGUGUGUGUGUGUGUGUGUGUGUGUUAAAAAGACUCCAACUGUAGCAUUUUUCUCUCCCACUGCCCAAAGUAAGUUUUUCUCAUUCCUUAAAUGAAACAAGCCUUUCCCCACUCCCUAAUUGUCCCCCUGAUGUGUGCCUUUGAUGUGUCUCAUCACUUCUUGCAUCUUGCUGUCAUGUUCUGUAUUUUCUUGGAGCCAUUGGGUGCUAAGGAAUUUGGUCUCUAGCUCUUCUGGGGAAGUUUGGUGAGCUGGUACAAAAGAGGUGAUGAAUGAGGCUGUAAAUUCAGUAAAUAAGAAAGGUACAUAAACUUCCUGAUAUUUGUUGGCCUGUUUUUUUUUUUUUUUACAUACUCUAUGCAGUGCCUGUGUAUAUGUACAUAGCAAAAUAAACCUGCUAAGAUAUAAUGAGUUGGUGUGCAUUCUUUAGUAGGAAUUCUUCUCAAUCAGAAGAAACCUAGAAUGGAGGGCCAGGAAAGAACCCAGGAAAGACAAAGAUUUUAUUGACUAACUGCCCUGUCUGUGUAGGGGUGCUGGCAAGGCUGCUGAGGCGAACAAAUGAAGCAUCAUCAGGAGUUUAGUAUCCUUAUGGAGUAGUAUCUAAGAAUGCUGCCAUUUUAUAUUUCUGAAGCACUUCACAGUUUCCAAAGGACAUUUGGAAUUCCUUAUCUCAUUUGAUCUUGCCUUGGCUUUAGUCAAGAACUCCUGCUCAGAAAUGUGUUCAGUGACUAUGUACACAUUUGGAGAAUGUGACCUGACACAUGCUACCUUGGCCUGAAAGCUGGAGUACUAAAGAGGCAAAACUGUGUUGAUGAGCUGGUGCUGGUAUGGGCAACUAGACACUUAGGUUCUGAUGAAGAGGCUCAUCGCUGGGAAAAAGUGAGAUUUUACUGGCUACUCUUCCGCAUUACUAGGUUUUAUCUUUUUAAAGAUAUAAUAUGCCUUUAAAAACAAUUUAGAAAUAAUAUAGAGCCUUGGGAUUUGAUGUAGAAUUGCAUAUUUGUGACCAAAAAGAGCACUGGUUUUCCUGUAAUAAGGAAAGCAAACCCAACCAGGAAAGGAGGCAGAUGUGUUGCUCUGCAACAUUGCAGGCAUAUGAAAUUGUACAGAUCUCACUGAAAACUAGGAAUGAUAUCACUUGGAAAUUUAACCAAAAUUAUUUCCAUCAGUGGACAAAGCACAUUUUAAAACAUUGUAUGCCUUUUUCAGAUAUCGUUCUUUUUCUAAAGUCACAUUUGUUGUUUCUGAUAGAGGGACAUAAUUGGGAAAAUUAACUAGAUAAAAAAAUGAAAUUUAAAGUAUAAAAAUUCUGCUUUUUCUGAUAAAUUUUACAUUCAUUGUUUCCUUGAUUUAAACAGAACAUUCUAAAAAUAUUACCCCCAUAGGGUGCAUAUUUUUAUGUACAUAUUAUUUUUGUUUAGAAAUUAUGAGCCAAUGAAGAGUGCAAAUGACCUUGGCUAUUGUACUUAUUUAUCAAUAGAAAUAAUAGCUUUUUUAUGUCUGGAUACAAGUAUCUUCUCUACUAAUCAUGCAACUUCCAUACAUUUCCAAGAGAUGAUUUGGAUUGCAUGAUUACAGGAGGCUGGAGCUUCCUACAUGCCCCUGUAUUUGUACAUAAUAUUUAUGCAAUAUUCUGACUUGGCUAUAAUCUAUAAUUUCUGGCUAUUAUUUCAGUUGCAACCAUCAUUUUUAGAUUAAUGGUUAUAAUUUUGGUAGGGAAUACAUGAAAAGUUAUAUGUUCAUGCUUGAAAGGAGGAUCAUUAAAUAUUCAUUAUUACCACUCAAAUUAGUUGUCAUGCUCUAUAAAACAGUUACCCGUUAUCAUUUCACUAGUUUAGAUUCAGCGGUAAGUGAACAGCAAUAUAUGGCUCUUAUCAGUAGAGGAAUUUUUGUUGAGGAACAGAGGGAGAAAUGAUUUUAAAACCCAUUUGACAUAUUUAUGUUGACAAAUUAUUUAAAAGAAUUACUGCAUUGUCAAUAAACAUGUUUGUAUGUUGGAAUAGGAUUGUGACUGGAUUUACUUCUAGCUGUUUAAUUACUCUAUGAUUGUGAAAAACAGUGCUUCUUCAGAUGGUUAUGAGGGGGGAAAAUGAAAAUACAAAGGUUGGGAUAUUUUAGUGUUUUGCACUUGCCUAAGCUUGCCAUAAAAAACCACUUUUCAUUUUUUAAGCAGGUACUGAAGUCUUGCUUUUUCAGUGGAGCUAGAUUGUAUAAUUUGUUAGUUUUCCCCAUCUGGUAACAAAUCUAUCCUUAAGAAAAAAAAAAGCAAAAAGCAAAACAAGAGAUGGAUUUUUAUAAAUGUUGUGGGUGAGCAUAUGUGGAGAUGUCUCCUUAACCUGUUUUGGAAACAUGAAGUGAAAAUAAAUAUGAA